GGGGAGGGUCGCGGCCGCACUGGCAGCCUCCGGGUGUCCGGCCGUGUCCCGAGGAAGUACAAGACCCGCAUUGUCCAGAUAUGAACCAAGGUUUGGCCUUUUCACCAAGAGAAAAAGGACAGGCUCAUGGGCACACAGUGCUGGGAUGAUGGGCACAAAGAAGAAAACGCUGGCAUUAUGUUGAACAUUCCAGUCUGCAUGAUAGAUACGCUUCUCACUGUAAAGAUCUGAAACUUCAGUACCAUGGCAUCCCAGGAAGGCAGCACACCUCUUCCCAUAUGUGUUCGAACCUGCAGAGGUCAGGCCCAAGGAGCCUCCAGCUGGAAAUUCUACCCUGUGUGAUGUUUCACUCCUCUCAAACUUUUCUGAACUUUGAUGGGUUGUAUAUUAAGGCCUUCUCCAUAUUUUGAGGCCCUUUCCUUGGAGUAUUUAUUUUUAAAACAUUUAUUUAAGCACUUACAAAGUGACAGGCACUGUUCUUAGUCCUUUAUAAAUAGCAACUCACUCUUGGACUGGAGUUUGGGGACCAAGAGUUGUCAACUUUAAAACUUUUUUCUUUUUAAGUACCAAAACACUCAAGAACAGAAAUAAGACUACUCUGCAUCUGGUCCAUCUCGCCCUCCAGAAGUAGAGCUAUCUAACAGCCUGAUAUAGGUCUUGUCCCUGCCCUUUCCUCGGGUUUUUACAGCCAUAGCUAGUAAAUAUAACAUACUGCAUCUCAUCACCUUUGUUUGGUCUUCCCUCAAACGCAGCCAUGCUGUGCGGCAGAACCAGGUGGGGAACCAGUGGCUCAGAGCCCACUCUGCUUUUCAGGACAUGGGCUGCUCAAGCGUCUGUCUUCAGCCCUCUCCCAGGGAGGGCCUAAACCCACAUCCUCAGGCCCCUGCAGAGCACAUCCAUCUUCCUAGUUACAUGUUAUGCCUUAUCUGCGGGAACCCUAGCCACGCCACACCCACCCCUCAACACAUGAAGAAAGGGAAAAAAUACCCCUUACUUUCUUUUGACAACAACAAAAAAGUACUUCUCCUACAAAUAGAGAUUUGAAAUGACAGGGUUAUUAUUUAACCCCGCUCUUACUCCAAACAUCCAAGUGGCAGUUUCAGCCUAGCUGCAGUACUCUGUUGUAGUGCUUAGUCCUGAUUUGCUUCCUAAGAAGUGAAUACCAGUUUCCACUGCCAUCAGCAAUGCCUGAGUACUUACUGUGCCUCUCCCUCACCCUACCCUCCUCUCCAGAACUGAGUAUUUUACUAAAAAAGGAAAAUCUUAGCUAAAUUUGAAAUAGCAUCUCAUUUUAAUUUGCAUUUUUUAUUAUAAUUAAGUUUGAGCCCUUUUUACCCAUACUGAGCCAUUUUUAUUUCUACUUUUUAAAUUUUUGGUUAAUGUUUUGUCUAUUCACUUAUUGUGUUUAAGUGAUUUUAAAAAUGUACAAAUAUUCUGAAAAACAUGAGUUUAUCCUCAUGGUAAAAAGCAAACAAUUUUAUUUGCAGUUAAUUCUUUUUAGUUUAUUGUUUGCCAUCUAAUUUUGGCUUUAUCAUUAAAAAUACAAAUCUAUUUUUCAUUCUUUUGUAGACAAAUUUUGUUCUUUUUUAUUUCUUUUGCUUGUGAGCAUAAAAAGGUUUUUUUCCUUAUUCUGUAUUCUAGUUUUUUUAUGGUUUGCAUUUUUACAUAUGACUUUUAAAAAGCUAGCAUUCAGUUUUAUUUCAGAUUUUAAUAAGAUAUUUGAUGAAAAUAGUGUAAUAUUUUAAAUAAAAUCAGUUUUAAUUAAAGGUCUAUGUAUUAAGGAUGUUUAUAUUACUGUACUUAUAUUUUUUCUUUUUAAAUAAUUUAUCAGAAUAGCAAACAGCUUGCUUGACAAAACUAAGAUUCACAUAUAUGGAUAAUCAUAAUUUUAGUGUUCUUAGCGUUUCCAUAAAUUGCUGCAUGAAAAGAUAUUUAUGUGUGGCUGUCUGGUUUAAAGAGGCACUCGUGCUUGGCAACAGCUUUUCAGCAUGUAGCCAAGAUGACGAAUUCAGCCUCUUCCAGUUCCUCUUCCUCACUAUUUCCCUAAGAUUUUUUUCAUGGGAGCAUAACUAUGUGUAUCUCUGUGCACAGAUUUUAUGUGUACCUUUCAAUGUAUUUUAACAAAAAUAUAUCCAUUUAACUAUCCAAAUCAAGAAAUAAAACAUUUUCAUUACCUCAGAAAGCUCCCCUGUGGCCCUUUCUAGUCACCACUACCCCCAAAGGCCAACACUAUUGAUGUCUGAUAUCUGUCACUAUAGAUUAGAUUAAUUUUGCCUGUUCUAAAAUUUCAUGUCAGUGUGUGCUUUUGUUUGUGGCUUCUUUCAGUGAGGAUCAACCACGUUGCAUGUGUCAGUAUCCAGUGUGUGAACAUGCAUCAAGUUAUUUAUUCAUUAGUUGAUUGACAUUUGGGUUAUUCCAGUUUGGGGCUAUUAAGAAGAAUAAAGCUCUAUGAACAGUUUUUUUCCUGUUUUUUAUUGUAGUAAAAUACACAACAUAAAAUUUACCAUCUUAAACCAUUGUUUGUUUGUUUGUUUGUUUUUGAGACGGAGCCUUGCUCUGUUACCCAGGCUGGAGUGCAGUGGCACGAUCUCGGCUCACUGCAACCUCCACCUCCCAGGUUCAAGCAAUUCUCUGCCUUAGCCUCCCAAGUAGCUGGGAUUACAGGCACCCACCACCAUGCCCAGCUAAUGUUUGUAUUUUUAGUAGAGAUGGAGUUUUACCACCUUGGCCAGGCUGGUCUUGAACUCCUGACCUGUGGUCCACCCGCCUUGGCCUCCCAAAGUGCUGGGAUUACAGGCAUGAGCCACCGCGCCCGGCCCUUAAACCAUUUUUAAGUGUAUAGUUCAGUAGUGUUAGGUAUAGUCACAUUGUUGUGCAACAAAUCUCCAGAACUUUUUCAUCUUGCAGAUCUAAAACUCUAUAUUCAUUAACAACUCCUCUUUUCCCCCAUCCUCCAGCCCCUGGUUCUAUGGACAUUCUUGUACAAGUCUUUUUGUGGCCAUUUUUCUUGGGCAAGUACCCAGGAGUAUAAAUGCUGGGUCUAGCCUUAGAAGAAACUGCCUUACGGUUUUCUCGAAUAGUUAGUUGUACCAUUUUAUGUUCCCACAGUAUACAAAAAUGCUAGUUUGCUCCAUAUCCUCACCAACAUUAGGUAUUGUGAGUCUUUUUUAUUUUAGCCAUUCUGUAGCUGUGAAGUGGCAUCCCAUUGUGGUUUUAUCACAUGUUCUAGUCAGUUAUUUACAUGUCUCUUCCCAUUACUAGACUGUGAACUUCAUAAGGGAAGGUUCAUGCAGUAAGUAGUUUUUUUUUUGUUGUUGUUGUUCUUAUUAACCUUCCUCUUCUUAUUUUGAGGGUGAUACAUGCUUUAUUAUUAAAAAGAACUUAAAAAUUAUAGAAAGCUAUUAAAAAGUCAAUAAAAUCACAGGUUAGCCCACCUCUCAGACAUCAUCAGGAGUGUUUUGGUCUUUCAAGCAGUGCUGUGUUGGUUCGUACAGAUAGAACAGUUCCCAUGAUGGUUGAUUCAGCAACCCAGCAUUGUUCCAGCCCGCUGCCUUGCCAUCCUCUGGACAUCACUUAUUCCCAGCGAGGAGCCCUUCUCUCAGACAGCCCCAGACAGAUUGUUUUUGUGGUUUGCUGGCCACAAAUGUAUCACAUGUAUCACUGACAAAAGAAGUAGAAUCCUCAAUACUGGAUUAAAUUAGAUUAAUUAACAUCCUUCCUCUGGGGCUGGGGAGGGAACCUGGCCUUCUUAGGAAAGUGGACAGAAUCAGGGCACUCUCACAGAAAGGGAGGCGUAGUUCUAGCGUAGGCCACUAACAUU